GGAUGUGAGGGCAAUCUGGAUGUGACAUCUGUCACCCUAUUGAUCUCCAGGGUUGAUUCGGCUGAUCUGGCUGGCUGUGCGGGGGUCCCCUUCCACCCUCAAUGCUCCAUGUUCAUCCCUCCUGUCACACUUGGUAGAAGAGGGUGACCACCGACAUCAGAGGAGGACCGUUUCCUGGUCUGAUAAGGGUGUAUAUAGGUAGCUGCACCUCCUACUACAACCUCCAAAGAAGCUCUCAAUAUAAGUACUUAUUAUUAUCAGUGUAAGUGAAGAAUAUUUCCAUUUUAACGGUGACUUACUUGGACAGCCCAUUCCU
rnacentral:snRNA from 1 species